ACGCUAAUACCGCAUAUUCUGUGAGCAGGAAAGAGGGGGAUCGCAAGACCUCUUGCUUUAGGAGCGGCCGAUGUCGGAUUUAGCUAGUUGGUGAGGUAAAGGCUCACCAAGGCGACGAUCCGUAGCGGGUCUGAGAGGAUGAUCCGCCACACUGGGACUGAGACACGGCCCAGACUCCUACGGGAGGCAGCAGUGGGAAUUUUGGACAAUGGGCGCAAGCCUGAUCCAGCCAUGCCGCGUGAGUGAAGAAGGCCUUCGGGUUGUAAAGCUCUUUCGGUGGGGAAGAAAUUGCUUCGGUUAAUACCUGGAGUAGAUGACGGUACCCGCAUAAGAAGCACCGGCUAACUACGUG
rnacentral:rRNA from 1 species